CAGUAGCCGCGGUAAUACGGAGGGGGCUAGCGUUGUUCGGAAUUACUGGGCGUAAAGCGCACGUAGGCGGCUUUGUAAGUUAGAGGUGAAAGCCUGGAGCUCAACUCCAGAAUUGCCUUUAAGACUGCAUCGCUUGAAUCCAGGAGAGGUGAGUGGAAUUCCGAGUGUAGAGGUGAAAUUCGUAGAUAUUCGGAAGAACACCAGUGGCGAAGGCGGCUUACUGGCUCAUACUGGACGCUGAGGUGCGAAAGCGUGGGGAGCAAACAGGAUUAGAUACCCCAGUAGUCCCUGUCUCUUAUAC
rnacentral:rRNA from 1 species